AACGAACGCUGGCGGCAGGCUUAACACAUGCAAGUCGAACGAGAUCUUUGGAUCUAGUGGCAGACGGGUGAGGAACACGUGGGAACAUCCCUUUCAGUUCGGAAUAACGUUGGGAAACUAACGCUAAUACCGGAUACGUCCUUCGGGAGAAAGAUUUAUCGCUGAAAGAUUGGCCCGGGUCUGAUUGGCUGGUUGGUGAGGUAACGGCUCACCAAGGCUACGAUCGGUAGCUGAUCUGGGAGGAUGAUCAGCCACAUUGGGACUGAGACACGGCCCAGACUCCUACGGGAGGCAGCAGUGGGGAAUAUUGGACAAUGGGCGCAAGCCUGAUCCAGCCAUGCCGCGUGAGUGAUGACGGCCUUCGGGUUGUAAAGCUCUUUUGUCCGGGAAGAUAAUGACUGUACCGGAAGAAUAAGCCCCGGCAAACUUCGUGCCAGCAGCCGCCGUAA
rnacentral:rRNA from 1 species